CUUUAACAACAUGACCUCCAGUUAUGAUGAUGUAAUCUGGAUAGGAUUCAUGGCAUCUAAUAACGCUGGUCAAGUGGCAUGUGAUUUUGAAGACUCUGUUAAAGUGAUCGCUGGCGGUUGGAGUAAUUGGUCUGAAUACGGUACCUGUUCUGCUUCAUGUGGUGGAGGUACCAAAACCUGGACAAGGACAUGUGAUAAUCCCGCUCCAGCUAAUGGUGGAACUAACUGUUCUGGACAAUCAAUAAGGAAAACGGCAUGUAAUCAACAACAACAAUGUCCUGUGGAAUAUGACAUGUAUAUAUGGAUUUCAAUCGGUGUUGCUGCGGUGAUCUUUCUUGUAUUUAUCACAUGGUGUAUAAGAAGAAAGACAAACAUCAACACAUCUAAGUCAGACAAGAAUUCCACGAAAAAGGAGCCGCCUGUUCAUCGUACACCACACGAGGAGACUGGUGAUGAUUCUAUGUACGACACAAUAGCUGAAGAUGAGCCACAUUACAAUACAAUAGACGAACAAGUGCCACACUACGAUACAAUAGCCGAACAAGAGCCACAUUACGAUACAAUCGUCAAUAUUGUAAUGUCACCAUUAGACCGGGGUGGCGUCCUUACUACGCAGUUGCGACCAUACGGCGACCAGAAAAUGCACAAGGUUGCCGACAAACAUGAACCCAACGAUAGAAAAUGUCCACAACCCCCCCCCCCUCCAAAAAAAUAAAUAAAAACUAAACGGCAUUCCAGGUCAGAUCGUAGAACCCUGGCUUUUUUUUUGAUCAUGCUUAAAACACACGCCGUGAAUCAGCGAUCAUUGGCGCUCUCGAAGACCACAG